rnacentral:rRNA from 1 species
GAUGAACGCUGGCGGCGUGCCUAAUACAUGCAAGUCGAGCGAACAGACGAGGAUCUUGCUCCUCUGACGUUAGCGGCGGACGGGUGAGUAACACGUGUAUAACCUACCUAUAAGACUGGGAUAACUUCGGGACACCGGAGCUAAUACCGGAUAAUAUAUUGAACCGCAUGGUUCAAUAGUGAAAUACGGUUUUGCUGUCACUUAUAGAUGGAUCCGCGCCGCAUGAGCUAGUUGGUAAGGUAACGGCUUACCAAGGCAACGAUGCGUAGCCGACCUGUGAGGGGGAUCGGCCACACUGGAGCUGAGACACGGCACAGACUCCUACGGACGGCAGAAGUAGGGACUCUUGCGAAAUGGGCGAAAGAUUGACGGAGCAGCGCCGCGUGAGUGAUGAAGGUCUUCGGAUCGUAAAACUCUGUUAUUAGGGAAGAACAAAUGUGUAAGUAACUAAGCGCGUCUUGCCGGAACCGAUUAAGAAAGCCACGGCUAACUACGU